rnacentral:rRNA from 1 species
GGAUUAGGCAUGCAAGUCGCACGAGAAAGGCUUCUUCGGAAGCCGAGUAAAGUGGCGAACGGGUGAGUAAUGCAUAGACAACUCGCCCUUGAGAUGGGGACAACGCCUCGAAAGGGGUGCUAAUACCCAAUGCCGCCUUGGGCCUGCGGGUCCAGGGUGAAAGGAGGCCUCUGAUUCAAGCUUCCGCUCAAGGAGAGGUUUAUGUCCUAUUAGCUAGUUGGCGGGGUAACGGCCCACCAAGGCUGCGAUGGGUAGCCGACCUGAGAGGGUGACCGGCCACAUUGGGACUGAGACACUGCCCAGACUCCUACGGGAGGCUGCAGUCGAGAAUCUUCCGCAAUGCGCGCAAGCGUGACGGAGCGACGCCGCGUGGGUGAUGAAGGCCUUCGGGUUGUAAAACCCUGUCAGCUACCACGAAACACGGGCGAUGAACAAUCGUCCCGUCUGACUUAAGUAGCAGAGGAAGCACCGGCUAACUACGUGCCAGCAGCCGCGGUAAUACGUAGGGUGCGAACGUUGUUCGGAAUCACUGGGCAUAAAGGGCGCGUAGGCGGUCUGAUAAGUCAGGUGUGAAAUCCCUCGGCCUAACCGAGGAACUGCAUUUGAUACUGUCGGGCUAGAGUACAGGAGGGGAGAGUGGAAUUCCUGGUGGAGCGGUGAAAUGCGUAGAUAUCAGGAGGAACGCCGGCGGCGAAAGCGACUCUCUGGCCUGUUACUGACGCUGAGGCGCGAAAGCUAGGGGAGCAAACGGGAUUAGAUACCCCGGUAGUCCUAGCCCUAAACGAUGGGCACUAAGUAGAGGGGUUUU